rnacentral:rRNA from 1 species
GUCGGGAACUCAAAGGAGACUGCCGGUGAUAAACCGGAGGAAGGUGGGGAUGACGUCAAGUCAUCAUGGCCCUUACGAGUAGGGCUACACACGUGCUACAAUGGCAUAUACAAAGAGAAGCGAACUCGCGAGAGCAAGCGGACCUCAUAAAGUAUGUCGUAGUCCGGAUUGGAGUCUGCAACUCGACUCCAUGAAGUCGGAAUCGCUAGUAAUCGUAGAUCAGAAUGCUACGGUGAAUACGUUCCCGGGCCUUGUACACACCGCCCGUCACACCAUGGGAGUGGGUUGCAAAAGAAGUAGGUAGCUUAACCUUCGGGAGGGCGCUUACCACUUUGUGAUUCAUGACUGGGGUGAAGUCGUAACAAGGUAACCGUAGGGGAACCUGCGGUUGGAUCACCUCCUUACCUAAAGA